CGCAGCCUGAUGGAGCACACCGCGUGAGUGAAGAAGGGUUUCGGCUCGUAAAGCUCUGUUGUUGAAGAAGAACGUGCGUGAGAGUAACUGUUCACGCAGUGACGGUAUUCAACCAGAAAGUCACGGCUAACUACGUGCCAGCAGCCGCGGUAAUACGUAGGUGGCAAGCGUUAUCCGGAUUUAUUGGGCGUAAAGCGAGCGCAGGCGGUUGCUUAGGUCUGAUGUGAAAGCCUUCGGCUUAACCGAAGAAGUGCAUCGGAAACCGGGCGACUUGAGUGCAGAAGAGGACAGUGGAACUCCAUGUGUAGCGGUGGAAUGCGUAGAUAUAUGGAAGAACACCAGUGGCGAAGGCGGCUGUCUGGUCUGCAACUGACGCUGAGGCUCGAAAGCAUGGGUAGCGAACAGGAUUAGAUACC
rnacentral:rRNA from 1 species